rnacentral:rRNA from 1 species
AACGAACGCUGGCGGCAUGCCUAACACAUGCAAGUCGAACGAGAUCUUCGGGUCUAGUGGCGCACGGGUGCGUAACGCGUGGGAAUCUGCCCUUUGGUUCGGAAUAACAGUUGGAAACGACUGCUAAUACCGGAUGAUGACGAAAGUCCAAAGAUUUAUCGCCAGAGGAUGAGCCCGCGUAGGAUUAGCUAGUUGGUGUGGUAAAGGCGCACCAAGGCGACGAUCCUUAGCUGGUCUGAGAGGAUGAUCAGCCACACGGGGACUGAGACAUGGCCCGGAAUCCUAGGGGAGGAAGCAGUGGGGAAUAUUGGACAAUGGGCGAAAGCCUGAUCCAGCAAUGCCGCGUGAGUGAUGAAGGCCGUAGGGUUGUAAAGCUCUUUUACCCGGGAUGAUGAUGACAGUACCGGGAGAAUAAGCUCCGGCUAACUCCGUGCCAGCAGCCGCCGUAA